rnacentral:rRNA from 1 species
CGGCCGCGUCGACGGCUGUCGUCAGCUCGUGUCGUGAGAUGUUGGGUUAAGUCCCGCAACGAGCGCAACCCUCGUGUUUAGUUGCCAUCAUUAAGUUGGGCACUCUAAACAGACUGCCGGUGACAAACCGGAGGAAGGUGGGUAUGACGUCAAGUCAUCAUGGCCCUUACGGCCUGGGCUACACACGUGCUACAAUGGUCGGUACAAAGG